AUUGAACGCUGGCGGCAGGCCUAACACAUGCAAGUCGAGCGCGAAAGGGUUUCGGCCUGAGUAGAGCGGCGGACGGGUGAGGAAUGCAUGGGAAUCUGCCUGAUAGUGGGGGAUAACGCGGGGAAACUCGCGCUAAUACCGCAUACGUCCUACGGGAGAAAGUGGGGGACCUUCGGGCCUCACGCUAUCAGAGGAGCCCAUGCCGGAUUAGCUAGUUGGUAGGGUAAAGGCCUACCAAGGCGACGAUCCG
rnacentral:rRNA from 1 species